GUGCUCACUUUGGCAGCAUGUAUACUAAAAUUUGAGCUAUACUGAAAUUAGCAUAGUCCUUGCUUGCACAAGGAUGGCACACAAAUUCAUAAAGAGUUCCAUAUAAUU